AACGAACGCUGGCGGCAGGCCUAACACAUGCAAGUCGAACGGGCACCUUCGGGUGUCAGUGGCAGACGGGUGAGUAACGCGUGGGAACGUACCCUUCGGUUCGGAAUAACCCGGGGAAACUCGGGCUAAUACCGGAUACGUCCGCAAGGAGAAAGAUUUAUCGCCGAAGGAUCGGCCCGCGUCCGAUUAGCUAGUUGGUGGGGUAAUGGCCCACCAAGGCGACGAUCGGUAGCUGGUCUGAGAGGAUGAUCAGCCACACUGGGACUGAGACACGGCCCAGACUCCUACGGGAGGCAGCAGUGGGGAGUAUUGGACAAUGGGCGAAAGCCUGAUCCAGCCAUGCCGCGUGAGUGAAGAAGGCCCUAGGGUUGUAAAGCUCUUUCAGCGGGGAAGAUAAUGCCGGUACCCGCAGAAGAAGCCCCGGCUAACUUCGUGCCAGCAGCCGCGGUAAUACGAAGGGGGCUAGCGUUGUUCGGAUUUACUGGGCGUAAAGCGCGCGUAGGCGGACAUUUAAGUCAGGGUGAAAUACCCG
rnacentral:rRNA from 1 species